AGACAGUAGUAUAGUUGGUAGUACGAGGAGUUUUGGGCUCUUAGGUGUAGGUCGGAUCCUGGUUGUCUA
rnacentral:tRNA from 1 species